GAGGAUAUAGCUCAGUGUUAGAGUGUGUGCUUAGGAUGCAUGCGGUUCUGGGUUCAAUGCCCAGCAUCUCCG
rnacentral:tRNA from 1 species